GACAGACAGACAGACAGACAGACAGACAGACAGACAGACAGACAGACAGACAGACAGACAGACAACACACUAAAGUUCUACCAGCAUACACACUAACUGACAGCAUACAACUGAUCACUGAGCAAAGAACACCAGCUCCAGUACACACCUUACUGUGCUGUACUGCACUGUACCUCACCUGCACACACUCACACCUACCAGAGACUCAGAGGUGAACGCUCAUGCUGGGUGCUCUCUCUGACUCCCCCUCUUGGUCCGACUCAUUGAAGGGGACUUCAGGUGGAACUCAAACAGGUGUUGGUAGAGCAGAGAGUGUAGUGGGUGGAGUGUAGUGGCACUGAGGACUGUGGGGAGAGUCUUGUCCCCGCCUAAGUGGUGGGAACAGGGCCAACUCCAUAGAUUCCAUGAGUGGCAGCUAAAGGAGAGACAAUAAAUGAGACCAUUUUGAUUACUUCAGUUCCAGUUAAUUCUGGUUACACUUUUAGUUGUCCCCAGACUAAAUCAGCACUCGUAUGCAUUUUUUGAACUGAAUAUAGACUCCCAAAUUUCAGUAUUUCUCUUCUGCCAUAAACGGCCUCUGACAGGGACCACUGAGUGCUGGAGCAGCAACACAGCAUCAACUCUACGGGACAAAACGUCCCUCUCUCUCUUUGCCCUCUUACGUUUCAGCACAAAAAAUUGAGCACCGACAAGUUAUCGGAGGGUGGCGUCGUGCCUACUGCCUUAACGGCCUCUCCCUCCCCCCUCCCAACAAAAGCCAUUUCCAGCCCCCAUGCUUUUAAACAAUAACGGAACUGGUGUCUGGAGUGCCAUGUGAAUGUUUCCUCUUUUCAGCGUGCGAGCGUAGACACUCGAGACUCAUAAAGACCCAGGUGAAGAUGCUAAUGAUUCUCUUUUUCCCCAAUUUUUAUCAAUCAGAGGUGCGGCCUUCCAUUGGCUGCCCUCAGGUGAAGUUUUAAUGUCUUGUUGCAAAGGGGGUCUCUCCUGAAAUCCUUUCUCCUGAAAGCGCAUUGUACAGACUUCAGUUUCCCCAGAUAUUUUGUCUGUGAUUGUCUGGCCAUGUGAUACAGAAGACAGUCACAGUGGGGAAAAAAUACAAAACUGAAAGUAAAUGUCACGAAAUAAAGGAUUGUAAGAUAUUAUUAAAAUAACUACUUUUCAGAAA
ensembl:lncRNA